GACGAACGCUGGCGGCGUGCCUAAUACAUGCAAGUCGAACGCAGUGGGGACGGGUGAGUAACACGUGGGUAACCUCCCCAUCAGAGUGGCUAACACUUGGAAACAGGUGCUAAACCGAUACUGAUGUAUGUACCCGCGGUGCAUUAGCUAGUUGGUGGGGUAACGGCUCACCAAGGCCACGAUGCAUAGCCGAGCUGAGAGGAGGACCGGCCACACUGGGAAUGAGACACGGCCCAGACUCCUACGGGAGGCAGCAGUAGGGAAUCUUGGGCAAUGGACGAAAGUCUGACCGAGCAACGCCGCGUGAGUGAAGAAGGUUUUCGGAUCGUAAAACUCUGUUGGUAGAGAAGCGGUAUCUAACCAGAAAGCCACGGCUAACUACGUGCCAGCAGCCGCGGUAAUUC
rnacentral:rRNA from 1 species